CCUACGGGGGGCAGCAGUGGGGAAUAUUGGACAAUGGGGGCAACCCUGAUCCAGCCAUGCCGCGUGUGUGAAGAAGGCCCUCGGGUUGUAAAGCACUUUCAGUGAGGAAGAACGCCUGGUGGUUAAUACCCAUCAGGAAAGACAUCACUCACAGAAGAAGCACCGGCUAACUCCGUGCCAGCAGCCGCGGUAAUACGGAGGGUGCGAGCGUUAAUCGGAAUUACUGGGCGUAAAGCGCGCGUAGGUGGCUUGAUAAGCCGGUUGUGAAAGCCCCGGGCUCAACCUGGGAACGGCAUCCGGAACUGUCAAGCUAGAGUGCAGGAGAGGAAGGUAGAAUUCCCGGUGUAGCGGUGAAAUGCGUAGAGAUCGGGAGGAAUGCCAGUGGCGAAGGCGGCCUUCUGGACUGACACUGACACUGAGGUGCGAAAGCGUGGGUAGCAAACAGGAUUAGAUACCCUAGUAGUC
rnacentral:rRNA from 1 species